GUCCCUGGGUGGUGCAGUUAACGCGCUUGGCUGCUAAUCAAAAGGCUGGUGGUUCGAGCCCACCCAGAGGUG
rnacentral:tRNA from 1 species